rnacentral:rRNA from 1 species
AUUGAACGCUGGCGGCAGGCCCAACACAUGCAAGUCGAGCGGAUGAAGGGAGCUUGCUCCUGGAUUCAGCGGCGGACGGGUGAGUAAUGCCUAGGAAUCUGCCUUGUAGUGGGGGAUAACGUCCGGAAACGGGCGCUAAUACCGCAUACGUCCUGAGGGAGAAAGUGGGGGAUCUUCGGACCUCACGCUAUCAGAUGAGCCUAGGUCGGAUUAGCUAGUUGGUGGGGUAAAGGCCUACCAAGGCGACGAUCCGUAACUGGUCUGAGAGGAUGAUCAGUCACACUGGAACUGAGACACGGUCCAGACUCCUACGGGAGGCAGCAGUGGGGAAUAUUGGACAAUGGGCGAAAGCCUGAUCCAGCCAUGCCGCGUGUGUGAAGAAGGUCUUCGGAUUGUAAAGCACUUUAAGUUGGGAGGAAGGGCAGUAAGUUAAUACCUUGCUGUUUUGACGUUACCAACAGAAUAAGCACCGGCUAACUUCGUG